AGUGAUGAUAGGCUUUCAGGGUCGUAAAACUCUGUUGUUAGGGAAGAACAAGUACGAGAGUAACUGCUCGUACCUUGACGGUACCUAACCAGAAAGCCACGGCUAUACUACGUGCCAGCAGCCGCGGUAA
rnacentral:rRNA from 1 species